rnacentral:rRNA from 1 species
GACGGGUAGGGGGCGUGAGAGCGUGACCCCCCACACUGGUACUGAAACACGGACCAGAUACCUACGGGUAGCAGCAGCAAGGAAUAUUGUCCAAUGGACGAAAGUCUGAGACAACAACACCGCGUGGAGGACGAAGGUCUUCGGAUUGUAAACUCCUUUUCUGGGGGAAGAGAACGGACGGUACCCCAGGAAUAAGGCCCGGCUAACUACGUGCCAGCAGCCGCGGUAAAACGUAGGGGUCGAGCGUUAUCCGGAUUUACUGGGCGUAAAGAGCAUGUAGGCGGUUGCUUAAGUCGGACGUGAAAGCUCCUGGCUCAACUAGGAGAGGUCGUUCGAAACUAAGUAACUCGAGGAUGGUAGAGGAUAGUGGAAUUCCAGGUGUAGUGGUGAAAUGCGUAGAUAUCUGGAGGAACACCAGUGGCGAAGGCGGCUAUCUGGGCCAUUCCUGACGCUGAGAUGCGAAAGCUAGGGGAGAGAACGGGAUUAGAAACCCCGGUAUUCCUAGCCGUAAACGAUGUCAACUAGGUGUAGGAGGUAUUGACCCCUUCUGUGCUGCAGCAAACGCGUUAAGUUGACCGCCUGGGGACUACGGCCGCAAGGCUAAAACUCAAAGGAAUUGACGGGGACCCGCACAAGCAGCGGAGCGUGUGGUUUAAUUCGAGAUACGCGAAGAACCUUACCAGGGUUUGACAUGACGGUAGUAGGGAUCCGAAAGGUGACCGACCCUUCGGGGAGCCGCCACAGGUGCUGCAUGGCUGUCGUCAGCUCGUGCCGUGAGGUGUUAGGUUAAGUCCUGUAACGGGCGCAACCCACGUCGUUAGUUAUACGUGUCUAACGAGACUGCCGGUGAUAAGCCGGAGGAAGGUGUGGAUGACGUCAAGUCAGCAUGGCCUUUAUAUCCUGGGCUACACACACGCUACAAUGGCCGGUACAAUGGGCAGCGAAACCGCGAGGUGGAGCCAAUCCUCUAAAGCCGGUCUCAGUUCUGAUUGUAGGCUGCAACUCGCCUGCAUGAAGUCGGAGUUGCUAGUAAACGCGCGUCAGCAACAGUGCGUUGAAUACGUUCCCGGGUCUUGUACACACCGCCCGUCACGUCAUGGAAGUUGGCAACGCCUGAAGUCAGUGAGCUAACCCUAACGGGAGGCAGCUGCCCAAGGCGGGGUCGGUAACUGGGACGAAGUCGAAACAAGGUAGCUGUAGCGGAAGCUGCGGCUGG